GCUGGGCAUGGUGGCGCGUGCCUGUAAUCCCAGCUACUCAGGAGGCUGAGGCAGGAGAAUUGCUUGAACCCAGGAGACUGAGGUUGCAGUGAGCUGAGAUCACACCACUGCAUUCCAGCCUGGUCGACAGAACAAGACUCCGUCUCAA
rnacentral:SRP_RNA from 1 species